CCUGGAGUUUGGUGUAUAGUUUUCAUUUCAGGACACGGGGAGUCUUUGCAUUCUGCACCUCCCAGCAAAGCACUGUGGAGUGUUACAGGUGGAAGACUCUCCACUAUUCACCCUUACAUCAGCCCUUCAUCAGACCCAGGCUGGGCCUUGCCCAGAAGUCCUGGGAACCAGCAUCACCUGUGGUGCCUUGCCUGGCUCACCAUUGCCAAGUACUACAGAUCCACCCCACAGGAGAAAGGCAAGGAAGUCUGAAUGAAGGACACUAAGGUUUUAAUUAACCCACUUUCGUUUUCCAAGCUGUAUUUUGCACAGGGUGGAGUGCAAGCAACAGCUCUGGAAAGUGAAGGAAGCCCGCCGCCUACUCUCCCAGGACCUCUCUCUGAGCUGGACAUUGAGGCUGGACAUCUGCGUAGAGAUGCUCAGUCUACUUCUGUUAAAUAAUCUUCAGGGAAAGCUUCAAUCAAGUGACAUUCUUCUGAGUGCAUUAUAGAAAACAGAAGAAACUGACUCCUCUUUAAAUAUAUCCCAAAUAGAAGAAGGUGGCGUUUGUGUAAUGCCAUAUUCUGGUUCUCUCUAUUAAACCAUCUCUGGGGAUCUACUGGUAAGGUUUGAAAAUUCUAAGUAGUUUCAAAAUCCAUGUCAAUCAACCUGCUGUCAAACAAAAUUGUUUACCAAGCGUUACCAAGACUUUCUUCUCUGUCUUGACAGUCUAAAGCAUGGGAUCAUACUGUCUGUUUCUGCAUUCAUUUUUUUCCACCUUACAGAUUAGCAGCUUGCCUAAGCUAAGUGGACAUAGGCAUAGUGACAUCUUCUUGAGCAUUGUCAGUUUUGUCACAAGAGGCAAUAAGCAUCUCUUUCUCAAGUUCUCACCAGACAAUACUUUUCUGUAGGGCUGGCAAUAGCAAUUUUUAGCAUGUUUAGAUUUCCCAAGUUAAAAUCUAGUUAAUUACUGAUCCCAUUUGCACAACACCUGUUACAUAUCAGCAAUCCAGUAUUUUCAACAUCAGGCCUAUAAGUUCUGUUGUAACUUCUAUGGUACUACUUGUCCGUAAAAACCUACAAAAAUCUGUUUUCUAUUCAUAGCACUGCAACCAACUCUCUGGGAAUGAGUUUAAGCAAACCAUUUUAAAUAAUGCUCUCAGUAACACUUCCCUGCCUAUAAAAGAGUGACUGUGAUGAAGAUCUCUUGCCAAAGCAAAGGAAGAAGUGCAAAGAGCAGUGAGGUAUUUUUACAGUGAUAAAGAAAACAUGAAGAAAGAUAUCUAGGUUCCCA
rnacentral:lncRNA from 1 species